rfam:Rattus norvegicus chromosome 6, whole genome shotgun sequence.
GGGGAUUUAGCUCAGCGGUAGAGCACUUGCCUAGCAAGCACAAGGCCCUGGGUUCGGUUCCCAGCUCCG